rnacentral:rRNA from 4 species
AAAUUGAAGAGUUUGAUCAUGGCUCAGAUUGAACGCUGGCGGCAGGCCUAACACAUGCAAGUCGAACGGUAACAGGAAGCAGCUUGCUGCUUCGCUGACGAGUGGCGGACGGGUGAGUAAUGUCUGGGAAACUGCCUGAUGGAGGGGGAUAACUACUGGAAACGGUGGCUAAUACCGCAUAACGUCGCAAGACCAAAGAGGGGGACCUUCGGGCCUCUUGCCAUCAGAUGUGCCCAGAUGGGAUUAGCUAGUUGGUGAGGUAACGGCUCACCAAGGCGACGAUCCCUAGCUGGUCUGAGAGGAUGACCAGCCACACUGGAACUGAGACACGGUCCAGACUCCUACGGGAGGCAGCAGUGGGGAAUAUUGCACAAUGGGCGCAAGCCUGAUGCAGCCAUGCCGCGUGUAUGAAGAAGGCCUUCGGGUUGUAAAGUACUUUCAGCGGGGAGGAAGGUGUUGUGGUUAAUAACCGCAGCAAUUGACGUUACCCGCAGAAGAAGCACCGGCUAACUCCGUGCCAGCAGCCGCGGUAAUACGGAGGGUGCAAGCGUUAAUCGGAAUUACUGGGCGUAAAGCGCACGCAGGCGGUCUGUCAAGUCGGAUGUGAAAUCCCCGGGCUCAACCUGGGAACUGCAUUCGAAACUGGCAGGCUUGAGUCUUGUAGAGGGGGGUAGAAUUCCAGGUGUAGCGGUGAAAUGCGUAGAGAUCUGGAGGAAUACCGGUGGCGAAGGCGGCCCCCUGGACAAAGACUGACGCUCAGGUGCGAAAGCGUGGGGAGCAAACAGGAUUAGAUACCCUGGUAGUCCACGCCGUAAACGAUGUCUACUUGGAGGUUGUGCCCUUGAGGCGUGGCUUCCGGAGCUAACGCGUUAAGUAGACCGCCUGGGGAGUACGGCCGCAAGGUUAAAACUCAAAUGAAUUGACGGGGGCCCGCACAAGCGGUGGAGCAUGUGGUUUAAUUCGAUGCAACGCGAAGAACCUUACCUGGUCUUGACAUCCACAGAACUUUCCAGAGAUGGACUGGUGCCUUCGGGAACUGUGAGACAGGUGCUGCAUGGCUGUCGUCAGCUCGUGUUGUGAAAUGUUGGGUUAAGUCCCGCAACGAGCGCAACCCUUAUCCUUUGUUGCCAGCGGUCCGGCCGGGAACUCAAAGGAGACUGCCAGUGAUAAACUGGAGGAAGGUGGGGAUGACGUCAAGUCAUCAUGGCCCUUACGACCAGGGCUACACACGUGCUACAAUGGCGCAUACAAAGAGAAGCGACCUCGCGAGAGCAAGCGGACCUCAUAAAGUGCGUCGUAGUCCGGAUUGGAGUCUGCAACUCGACUCCAUGAAGUCGGAAUCGCUAGUAAUCGUGGAUCAGAAUGCCACGGUGAAUACGUUCCCGGGCCUUGUACACACCGCCCGUCACACCAUGGGAGUGGGUUGCAAAAGAAGUAGGUAGCUUAACCUUCGGGAGGGCGCUUACCACUUUGUGAUUCAUGACUGGGGUGAAGUCGUAACAAGGUAACCGUAGGGGAACCUGCGGUUGGAUCACCUCCUUACCUUAAAGAAGC